rnacentral:rRNA from 1 species
UACGUAGGGUGCGAGCGUUGUCCGGAAUUAUUGGGCGUAAAGGGCUCGUAGGCGGUUUGUCGCGUCGGGAGUGAAAACGCCGUGCUUAACACGGCGCUUGCUUUCGAUACGGGCAGACUAGAGGUAUUCAGGGGAGAACGGAAUUCCUAGUGUAGCGGUGAAAUGCGCAGAUAUCAGGAGGAACACCGGUGGCGAAGGCGGUUCUCUGGGAAUGACCUGACGCUGAGGAGCGAAAGUGUGGGGAGCGAACAGG